AUAGAAAUUCAGAGUCCAAGCUAAGACCGUAAUAUAGUGUUCGAGUACGAGGACUUAAGUUAAUUGGUCUAUGAUAGUUUUAAGAUAAAUUCAUAGGAAAGUGUUAUUCAUGUGAUAGGUAACAAGAAAUGGGUUGAUGACUAUUUUAGUCUUUGGAAAAAAGAAUACCCCGUAGAUGAGCCCUAGGAAUGAGGUAGGAGCAAAAUGAUCUGCCGAAAAAGGACGAGGGAACUUAUUCUCAAGUAAAUCUCGUGUAUAUAAAUUGGAAUUAGGAAUCCAAUUGAUAUGAGGAGAGACCCGAAUCUAUUCUAGAUCGGAAAGUUAAAGUACUAAGGAAUAAGUCGAUACCCUUAGUAAUAGUUCUUUGGAAGCACUAUGAUCAAGAAAAGGCGAUGUGGGAACUCGAUUCUAGCAUGAAUGAGAAGUACCCAGAAUUAUUUUCUGUGGUACAAAUUUCGUGACGAAAUUUCUUUUAAAGUGGAUAGUAUGUCAUACCCCGACUUUUAAUCCCUGAUUAAGGGCUUAAUUAUUAAUAAUUAGGAUUCGGCAUCCAUUUAUAAUAAAAAAACUGGUUUGAUUUAUCUGAUGUGAUUUAAUCAUUAUAUAUGUGUUUUAAUGUGCUUAGUUAAAGGAAAAUUUUUAUAAAUGUGGUGCAUAAGUUUUAAUUGGUGAGUUAAGUGUAUUUAUAUGAGCCACAUGAAUUUUAAAUUAUGCAUGAAGUCAUGAAUUUUAUCUAAAUUUGAUAGUACAUGUAACACCCCGUACUUUUCCCUAUGUUGUGAGAUAAUGUCUUAACACUAUUGAGAAUACUGAGAUGUCAGAGAGAUUGACUGUCCUAUUAAGAAAAUAGGAAUAAUGAGUUGGAAAUAGAGUCGAGAAAGAAAGAGUGAAAAACCUUGAUAAAAAAAAAAAAAAAAAAAAAAUCGGUCGGAUAGACGUCUAGUUUGUCUGUGUUUGCCGACUGCUUUGACGUGAUAUUAUGUGAAAUUACGUGACUGAUUGAUUAUGUGAGUUUUGUUACGUAUGUCAUUGUGAGCAAGUUAUUAUGAUUUUUAUUUGAUAACCUUAGCACUUGGAAUUUUAAUUAAGUUUUCAAAGCAAGUGCAAUUUAUUUUUACCGAGAAAUCAAAGAAUGUCGGGUUAUGAAAAUUUUUCCAAACAAAAUAUUUUCAAAUUAUUUUCCUAUGAUGAGGAAUAUUAUAAUUGAGUAAGUGCACUAAUAUUAGUGCCAUAUUUAUUUUAAAUAUUGGUCACAAUAGUUUUGUGUUAUAGCAUUGCAUUAAUUAGUAAUUAGUCUUUUAUGAUUUUAUUAAUGUAGCUUAACACAUGAUUUAUUCUAGACUACACAACCUUACACACACAUGAUUAUUUUAAUCUAAUAAGCAUGUGAUUAAUUUCCUUAGCCUUACUUGAAGUGGACGUGUGGUAUGAAGAUGAAGGGAAGGGAUUACUGUAUAGGGGGGGACAAGUAUUAAAUGGUGAAUAGUGUUUGGUCUCCAAUCAUCCUUCCUAAGCAAGACAAAUUCACUUCAUUUCCCUCAUUUUCUUCACCAUUCGACCACUCUCAAUUUCUCUCCCUCUCUUCCGAUUUUGCUCCAAAAGAUCACCAUAGAUGAAUCACCAAAGCUUCCAAGUUCACAUCAAGAUCAAUUCCUCCACCAAAUCAACAUAAACACCUUUCAAUUCUUGAAGAUUUCAAGAGGACCGUGGGGUUUGGUUUGAAGAGUGAGAAAGGAAAACUUUGAUCUUUGUUUAAUCUUGGGUUGAGCAGUUGAUGGAAUGGAAUGAUGUUGAGCGGGUGUUCCUUUGACAUUUCAAUAAAUGUAACCUUGAGUAUACAUCUUCAUAUGUAUAUCUCACACGUUUUCCGCUGCAAAACACUUUGAUUAGGAUAGCUCUAUGAUAUGAAGUUGUGAUACGUGUUAUUGGGUAACCACCUUAAUCAGUUCUCAAUUAUGUGUAUCCAAAUAAUCAUAUAUGAUCCUAGCAUUUUAUCUAUGAGUGACAUUUCCAUAUACUUUAAUGUUAAGUAAUUGUCCAUUUCCA